GACGAACGCUGGCGGCGUGCUUAACACAUGCAAGUCGAACGAUGAACCCGGAGCUUGCUCUGGGGGAUUAGUGGCGAACGGGUGAGUAACACGUGAGUAACCUGCCCUGGACUCUGGGAUAAGCGUUGGAAACGACGUCUAAUACCGGAUAGGACCUUGGAUCGCAUGAUCUGGGGUGGAAAGUUUUUUCGGUCUGGGAUGGACUCGCGGCCUAUCAGCUUGUUGGUGAGGUAAUGGCUCACCAAGGCGUCGACGGGUAGCCGGCCUGAGAGGGUGACCGGCCACACUGGGACUGAGACACGGCCCAGACGCCUACGGGAGGCAGCAGUGGGGAAUAUUGCACAAUGGGCGAAAGCCUGAUGCAGCAACGCCGCGGGCGGGAUGACGGCCUUCGGGUUGUAAACCGCUUUUAGUAGGGAAGAAGGGCUUCGGCUUGACGGUACCUGCAGAAAAAGGACCGGCUAACUACGU
rnacentral:rRNA from 1 species